UACGUAGGGUCCAAGCGUUGUCCGGAAUUAUUGGGCGUAAAGAGCUCGUAGGCGGUGUGUCGCGUCGGAUGUGAAAGCCCGGGGCUUAACUUCGGGUCUGCAUUCGGUACGGGCAUGCUGGAGUUCGGUAGGGGAGACUGGAAUUCCUGGUGUAGCGGUGAAAUGCGUAGAUAUCGAGAGGAACACCUGCGGCGAAGGCGGGUUGCUGGGCUGACACUGACGCUGAAGCGCGAAAGCGUGGGGAGCAAACAGG
rnacentral:rRNA from 1 species